rnacentral:misc_RNA from 1 species
UUAAGUUCAGCGGGUAUCCCUACCUGAUCCGAGGUCAACCUGGAAAAAAGUUUUGGUUGAUCGGCAGGCGCCGGCCGGGCCUACAGAGCGGGUGACAAAGCCCCAUACGCUCGAGGACCGGACGCGGUGCCGCCGCUGCCUUUCGGACCCGCCCUCCGGGAAGGGGGACGAGACCCAACACACAAGCCGGGCUUGAGGGC